GGAGUCACAUCAUCAGCAAGAGGCUCAUUUUGCAUACUAACAGGAGAGGAGAGGGAGUCACACUUGUUCGAGAGGACACUCGUGGAAAGCGCCCUCCCUGUGUACCCGCACAGCUCUCAGGCGCAGGCACCUGGAGGAUGUGAAUAUGAUAAGUUGUCACCUCGUCAUGGAGAUUCUCCAUUCGGCCUGGAGAGUGAGACAGUAAUAAUUUUACAGACCUUCACAGUUUCAAAAUAACUUUUAAUAUUAGAGCGGGGAAAAAAGCUGUUGAAUUAUAAACGCCCGCCGCUGCGGUUCUUCGACAUCACCAUCUGUCUUUUUGAUGGAGAUGAGGAGAGAGAGAGAGGUGCAGAGGUCAGCCCGUAACGUGGGGACGGCGAAAAAACCACAGCAGCUGCCGGAACGCAGAGACUGGAGAGUAUUUUCAUAUGCACUUCUCAUUGGGAAGCAAAUCAAACUGUGUGGUCGAUCUGAGGUGAAGGAAAGUCACUUAAAUUCUUAACCACAACAUGGGGCCUGACUGCACGUCACGUUUUUUUUCACACUGCAGAAACGGAAAGUGUGUAUGAAGGAAUGGACGCCUCUGCAAUUGCUCCAACUUGAGCGCUGGCCUUCAUUUGUGUAGGAAAUGCCUGAUGUAAUGAUGUUAGAAUGGUGGAACUACAGUGUGAAAUUAACAUCACUGAGCAUUGCUUGAAGUCUACAUUGCAUGUUGCGCUGACCACACCCAACAGGAAGCUGAACUGGAAAUUGAAUUGUAAUAACAGGAAAAAGAAAAGUUGUUCUCUAAAAUGUCGACUUCUCUGAAAUUCUGUAUCCUGUUUGCUACCUCAAUUCUAUUGAAAAAUUCAAACGCUGAAUUGGAAUUUACAACGCAUUCUUAAUUCCAUUCUGAAUGAAUGGCACAGAAAAAAAAAAAACUUGCAGGAACUUCUCAGGAUGACUUGAAGACAGCAUCAUUCAGAGGAAGGAAUGCUUAGCAUUAUCAAUUAGCAUAUACCCUCUUCUCUUUCUCUUCCAAUCCGACCUCUCAAAGCAAACAAAGGGCUCAUUGAAAUUUCCAAGCCGUACGUAUGGACUCACUUCUUCAGCCAACUAAUGUCAAGAGUUGAGCUUGCUUUGCUUUCUGCACCUGUGCCAAAAAUUAUGCAGCACCCAGCCAAGACCAACAUGGCCACUUGGAGCGGCUAACCGCUAACUAACCCUCAUAACUGGCCAGUGUUAUAUGCCGUCCAGGCGCUAUAAAACACUCCACUGUGGCACAAUGAGGGAGAGGCCGGCGUGAUGUAAGUGGAGUUGUGGAGUGGGAUUCUGGGUGCGUUUGGUGGUGAAUGAGUCUUUCGCCGGUGGAGACUGUGGCCAGUGUUUAAGGGAGGGAAUUAAAGCUCCUCAGGGGACUGUAUGUGUCUGCGAGCUGUU